rnacentral:misc_RNA from 1 species
UACAGAGGGUGCAAGCGUUAUCCGGAAUUACUGGGCGUAAAGCGUGCGUAGGCGGCUUUUUAAGUCGGCUGUGAAAUCCCCGAGCUUAACUGGGGAAUUGCAUUCGAUACGGGGAAGCUAGAGUAUGGGAGAGGAUGGUAGAAUUCCAGGUGUAGCGGUGAAAUGCGUAGAGAUCUGGAGGAAUACCGAUGGCGAAGGCAGCCAUCUGGCCUAAUACUGACGCUGAGGUACGAAAGCAUCGGGAGCAAACAGG